UAAGCCAUGCAUGCCUUUGAAUAGAAGAGCUUUCUCUCUGAAUCUGCGAACGGCUCCGGCAAACCAGUUGUAAACUAUAGCAAGCAAGCCCCGGUGUCGGUCGCAAGGCUGGUGCCGGGGUAAUAAGGAUAACCCUGGUAAUUCUGAGGCUAAUACAAGAACGUAACCCCCGGUCGACUGGGCAACUGGAAGGCUGGGGAACGUGCGAUUCAUCGCAAAAAUCACUGGGAAUAGGCGCACGUUCAGACCACCAUACCAAACGGUUUCGCUGAUCUUCGGAAAGGCGUUUCUGGGUGGCUCUUGCUGUGUGCUUCUGACCUAUCAACUAGAUGGCAGCGUAACGGACAUGCUAUGGUUACAACGGGUACAGAGGAUAAGGGUUCGAUCCUGGAGAGUGGGCCUGAGAGAUUGCUCACACUUCUAAGGAAGGCAGCAGGCGCGCAACGUUCCCCUUGGGCAAUGCUCGAGG
rnacentral:rRNA from 1 species